rnacentral:rRNA from 1 species
CCGUUAGGAGGGAAACGAAUGCAGCUAAAUUAGCUUUGUUUCAGGCUCAGGAGGAUGUUGGGUUUCGAUGCCAGCUGCCAAAAGCCGAUAGGUUUUGACUGCUGGAUAGUGGUCAACUCCUCUGCAUUCCUGUGCACAAGCUAGCCAACAACAGUUGUCCGUGGCUGAUGAGGGCAGUUGGGUAGGUAGUUCUCAGAAUUUUUCCGAGAAAACGUAUAGCCAUCUGUCUGGAAGUCUGCGGAGGACUGAGGAAAACUGUCAGUGCAGGCCCUCUGGGCUUGGGCCGCUUCUGGUCGUUCUGGGCACCACUUGUGGGACUGCUUGCAGUGCCAUUUGAUGGCUGUUUGCUCGAGCGGGAGACUGGUCACACCUUGUGCUGUAGUUGUUGGUGUUCAAAUGGCUGCAUCCGACCCGUCUUGAAACACGGACCAAGGAGUGCAACAUGCGUGCGAGUCUUUGGGUGUCAAACCCUGUGGCACAAUGAAAGUGAAGGCAGGCAUUGGUCUGCUUAGGCGAGAGUCUCUUUGGAGACACAUCGUCGACCGAUCCCAGGUCACGCUGUGGCGGGAUUUGAGUGAGAGCGUGCCUGUUGCGACCCGAAAGAUGGUGAACUAUGCCUGAA